CCUACGGGAGGCAGCAGUGGGGAAUCUUGCGCAAUGGGCGAAGGCCUGACGCAGCCAUGCCGCGUGAAUGAUGAAGGUCUUAGGAUUGUAAAAUUCUUUCACCGGGGACGAUAAUGACGGUACCCGGAGAAGAAGCCCCGACUAACUUCGUGCCAGCAGCCGCGGUAAUACGAAGGGGGCUAGCGUUGCUCGGAAUUACUGGGCGUAAAGGGAGCGUAGGCGGAUAGUUUAGUCAGAGGUGAAAGCCCAGGGCUCAACCUUGGAAUUGCCUUUGAUACUGGCUAUCUUGAGUAUGGGAGAGGUUAGCGGAACUCCGAGUGUAGAGGUGAAAUUCGUAGAUAUUCGGAAGAACACCAGUGGCGAAGGCGGCUAACUGGCCCAUUACUGACGCUGAGGCUCGAAAGCGUGGGGAGCAAACAGGAUUAGAUACCCUGGUAGUCCACGCCGUAAACGAUGAGUGCUAGUUGUCGGCAUGCAUGCAUGUCGGUGACGCAGCUACGACAUAAGUACACUCCGCCGUCGGGAGGUACGGUCGGCGAAGAAUUAAAACUUAAAAGUAAGUAAGUAGACGUCGUAGAGACGCGACGACGACGACGACGGAGGAGGAG
rnacentral:rRNA from 1 species